rnacentral:pre_miRNA from 2 species
AGAAUAUAAGAAUUCGUCUCUUAACUUUUAACUAAAAAAUCUAAGAGCUGGUUCUUAAAUAAGAAAUUUAAGAGCCGGCUCUUAACUUUUUUAGUUGAAAGUUAAGAGACGGGUUCUUAUAUUCC